AUCUUAUAGAUUAAAAAAAAGCAUAUGUACUAAAACUGGAAUAAUACAGACAUUAGCAUGGCCCCUACUCAGGAUGACAUUCAAAUUCUUGGAGAAGUCCAUAAUUUUA